ACAGCUUUGUAAAAGUCUAUAGCUAGUGCAUUCCAAACUCCCUCUGCACUGGGUCUGACACCAGGCAAGUGAGCAGACAUUUCCCUCUCCCUCUCUCUCUCUCUGCCCCUCU
rnacentral:sRNA from 1 species